rnacentral:rRNA from 1 species
GUGGGGAAUAUUGGACAAUGGGCGAAAGCCUGAUCCAGCCAUGCCGCGUGUGUGAAGAAGGUCUUCGGAUUGUAAAGCACUUUAAGUUGGGAGGAAGGGUUGUAACCUAAUACGUUGCAAUUUUGACGUUACCGACAGAAUAAGCACCGGCUAACUUCGUGCCAGCAGCCGCGGUAAUACGAAGGGUGCAAGCGUUAAUCGGAAUUACUGGGCGUAAAGCGCGCGUAGGUGGUUUUGUAAGUUGGAGGUGAAAUCCCCGGGCUCAACCUGGGAACUGCCUCCAAAACUGCAUGACUAGAGUACGGUAGAGGGUAGUGGAAUUUCCUGUGUAGCGGUGAAAUGCGUAGAUAUAGGAAGGAACACCAGUGGCGAAGGCGACUACCUGGACUGAUACUGACACUGAGGUGCGAAAGCGUGGGGAGCAAACAGGAUUAGAUACCCUUGUAGUCC